GACGAACCGUGCGAACGUUGUUCGGAAUCACUGGGCUUAAAGGGCGCGUAGGCGGGUGUGCAAGUCUGUGGUGAAAGCCUCCAGCUUAACUGGAGAAGUGCCGUGGAUACUGCACAUCUUGAGGAGGGUAGGGGCAUCUGGAACGGGUCGGUGGAGCGGUGAAAUGCGUUGAUAUCGACCGGAACUCCGGUGGCGAAGGCGGGUCUCUGGGCCGGAUACUGACGCUGAGGAGCGAAAGCAUGGGGAGCGAACAGG
rnacentral:rRNA from 1 species